GAGAAGCACCACUGCAGCCUUAAACUACCACGUGAGAUUCCGAGGUCAAAGGUCUCCUUGUUCCUGUCUUUCAUCUGUCUCUAGUCCUGCAGUUUCUGGCUUCCCCCCCUAUGGCUUCUCCAAGAUGGCCCCCUAAUCUCAGCCUUCUUACCAGUGGGGUUCUUGGGAGACUCUCCUCUGGAGUUGGGACUCACCUGACCACGCCUUGAUGUGGGAUCCACGAUCGGUUUCCGAGUCAACCGACAAUACGCACAGCGCCAUAUUAACCCUUGGACCUGUGCUCAACAGAGUGUAAACAAAGUUCCUACAAAGUGUGUAAUCAGCAGAUGUCUCCAUGGGGCGGCCCAACGCCACUUGGGCAUACCCUGCCUCUCCCCCUCCUCGCCAGGUUGUGAAUUCUGCUUUGCUCAGCCAAUGUGCAUCCAUAUGCCCAAAAGGAAUGCUCAAGUCCUCUUAGCAUAGGACACCCUAUCAUGCUAUACUGAUUUAAGCGAACAGAUGUUAAAUAAUUCAACAGUAAUUUUGACCUUUAUGAAGCGGAAGACACGGCAGUGGAAGGUCAAAGAACUCAAAGAAAUCGCCGGCCCUUGUUCAGUUCAAUAAUAAUUGGUUUUGCAAAUAUAUUUAUUUUUCCCGAAAUGUCUUUGUCCAAUCCAAAUUUUCCACAGAAUUCCAAGAAUAUGAUACGCAAUCCACAUCAAGCAUAACUCAAACUGAAAAAAGAACAGUUUCAUAAUGAUACGAGAUAAAAGGAUACAAGAUAAUUCAGUAACUAGGUAAUACCAUGAUCGAUAUCAAUAUUACAUGCAGUAGGAUUGUUUGGUAUGAGUGUCGACCCGGUCAACGUCCGAACAAUCUACCAUGCUUUGUAUGUUUUAAGGUAAACUACAACCUUAGAUUUUUUAACAAUUACAAUACAAACAAUAAAAUAAAUAUAAUUUGACACUGGAUGCGUUUCAUUGACACCGCCUGUUCGC
ensembl:lncRNA